rnacentral:rRNA from 1 species
UGAGUAACCUGCCCUUCACUCUGGGAUAACUCCGGGAAACCGGGGCUAAUACUGGAUAUGACCUACUCGGGCAUCCGAUGUGGGUGGAAAGAUUUAUUGGGUGGGGGAUGGACUCGCGGCCUAUCAGCUUGUUGGUGAGGUAAUGGCUCACCAAGGCGACGACGGGUANCUGGUCUGAGAGGAUGGCCAGCCACAGUUGGGACUGAGACACCGGCCCAGACCUCCGUACGGGAGGNA